GUGUCUUGUCACCUCUGGCGUCGAGCGGUCGGACGGGUGAGUAAUGCUUGGGAAUAUGCCUUAUGGUGGGGGACAACAGUUGGAAACGACUGCUAAUACCGCAUGAUGUCUACGGACCAAAGUGGGGGACCUUCGGGCCUCACGCCAUAAGAUUAGCCCAAGUGGGAUUAGCUAGUUGGUGAGGUAAUGGCUCACCAAGGCGACGAUCCCUAGCUGGUUUGAGAGGAUGAUCAGCCACACUGGGACUGAGACACGGCCCAGACUCCUACGGGAGGCAGCAGUGGGGAAUAUUGCACAAUGGGCGCAAGCCUGAUGCAGCCAUGCCGCGUGUGUGAAGAAGGCCUUCGGGUUGUAAAGCACUUUCAGUAAGGAGGAAAGGUUAAGUGUUAAUAGCACUUAGCUGUGACGUUACUUACAGAAGAAGCACCGGCUAACUCCGUGCCAGCAGCCGCGGUAAUACGGAGGGUGCGAGCGUUAAUCGGAAUUACUGGGCGUAAAGCGUACGCAGGCGGUUUGUUAAGCGAGAUGUGAAAGCCCCGGGCUCAACCUGGGAACUGCAUUUCGAACUGGCAAACUAGAGUGUGAUAGAGGGUGGUAGAAUUUCAGGUGUAGCGGUGAAAUGCGUAGAGAUCUGAAGGAAUACUCGAUGGCGAAGG
rnacentral:rRNA from 2 species